rnacentral:rRNA from 1 species
UACGGAAGGUGCGAGCGUUGUCCGGAAUCACUGGGCGUAAAGGGCGCGUAGGUGGCUCGUGAAGCGUGCGGUGAAAGUCCGAGGCUCAACCUCGGAUCGGCCGUGCGGACUCGCGGGCUGGAGUGCUGUAGAGGGGGGUAGAAUGCCGGGUGUAGCGGUGGAAUGCGUAGAGAUCCGGCAGAAGACCGGUGGCGAAGGCGGCCCCCUGGGCAGUAACUGACACUGAGGCGCGACAGCGUGGGGAGCAAACAGG